GAUGAACGCUGGCGGCGUGCCUAAUACAUGCAAGUCGAACGAACAGACGGUGAGCUUUCUCUCCUGACGGUAGCGGCGGACGGAGGAGUGACACGUUGAUAACCUCCUUAUAAGACUAGGAUAACUUCGGGGAACCGCAUCUGAUACCACAUAAUAUAUCGAACGACAUGAUUCAAUAGUAAAAGACAGGUUUCCUGUCACUAAUAGAUGAAGCCGCGCCGCAUUCUCUAUUGGGUAAGGUAACGGCUUAGCAAGGCUACGAUGCGUAGCGGACCUGAGAGGGUGAUCGGCCACCCUGGAACUGAGACACGGUCCAGACUCCUACGGGAGGACGCAGUAGGGACUCUUACGCAAUGGGCGAAAGCCUGACGGAGCAACGCCGCGUGAGUGAUGAAGGUCUUCGGAUCGUAAAACUAUGUUAUUAGGCAAGAACAAAUGUGUAAGUAUAUAUGCACGUAUUGACGGUACCUAAUGAGAAAGCCCCGGCUAACUACGUG
rnacentral:rRNA from 1 species